AACGAACGCUGGCGGCAUGCCUAACACAUGCAAGUCGAACGAGACCUUCGGGUCUAGUGGCGCACGGGUGCGUAACGCGUGGGAACCUGCCCUUAGGUUCGGAAUAACUCCCCGAAAGGGGUGCUAAUACCGGAUAAUGUCUUCGGACCAAAGAGUUAUCGCCUUUGGAUGGGCCCGCGUUGGAUUAGCUAGGUGGUAGGGUAAAAGCCUACCAAGGCGACGAUCCAUAGCUGGUCUGAGAGGAUGAUCAGCCACACUGGGACUGAGACACGGCCCAGACUCCUACGGGAGGCAGCAGUGGGGAAUAUUGGACAAUGGGCGAAAGCCUGAUCCAGCAAUGCCGCGUGAGUGAUGAAGGCCUUAGGGUUGUAAAGCUCUUUUACCCGGGAUGAUAAUGACAGUACCGGGAGAAUAAGCUCCGGCUAACUCCGUG
rnacentral:rRNA from 1 species